AUUGAACGCUGGCGGCAUGCCUUACACAUGCAAGUCGAGCGGAGAGAGGUAGCUUGCUACUGAUCUUAGCGGCGGACGGGUGAGUAAUGCUUAGGAAUCUGCCUAUUAGUGGGGGACAACAUUUCGAAAGGAAUGCUAAUACCGCAUACGUCCUACGGGAGAAAGCAGGGGAUCUUCGGACCUUGCGCUAAUAGAUGAGCCUAAGUCGGAUUAGCUAGUUGGUGGGGUAAAGGCCUACCAAGGCGACGAACUGUAGCGGGUCUGAGAGGAUGAUCCGCCACACUGGGACUGAGACACGGCCCAGACUCCUACGGGAGGCAGCAGUGGGGAAUAUUGGACAAUGGGCGCAAGCCUGAUCCAGCCAUGCCGCGUGUGUGAAGAAGGCCUUAUGGUUGUAAAGCACUUUAAGCGAGGAGGAGGCUACUUUAGAUAAUACCUAGAGAUAGUGGACGUUACUCGCAGAAUAAGCACCGGCUAACUCUGUGCCAGCCGCCGCGGUAAAAC
rnacentral:rRNA from 1 species